GAUGAACGCUGACAGAAUGCUUAACACAUGCAAGUCGAUGGGGAAGUGGUGCUUGCACCAUGGCAACCAUGGCGGACGGGUGAGUAACGCGUAAGGGACUUACCUGCAGGACUGGGAUAACAGGGGGAAACUCCUGACAAGACCGGAUAAUGUCAUGGAGCUGCAUGGCUUUAUGAUGAAAGGAGACGCCUGCGGAGAGCCUUGCGUCCUAUUAGCUAGUUGGUGAGGUAAUGGCUCACCAAGGCGAAGAUAGGUAGCCGGCCUGAGAGGGUGGACGGCCACAAGGGGACUGGGAGACGGCCCUUACUCUUACGGGAGGCGGCAGUGGGGAAUAUGGGACAAUGGGGGCAACCCUGAUCAAGCAAUUCUGUGGGAACGAAGAGGGUUUUCGGAUUGAAAAGUGCUUUCAGCAGGGAAGAAGUAAGUAACGGAACCGGCAGAAGAAGCAACGGCAAAAUACGU
rnacentral:rRNA from 1 species